UACAGAGGAGCCAAGCGUUGUCCGGAUUGACUGGGCGUAAAGCGCACGCAGGCGGAUGCGCGCGUGGGGUGUGAAAUCUGGCCGCUUAACGGCCAGGCGCCAUCCCAUACGGCGCGUCUGGAGUGAUGCAGAGGUCGAUGGAAUUGCCGGUGUAGUGGUGAAAUGCGUAGAGAUCGGCAGGAACACCCAGGGGGAAACCAGUCGACUGGGCAUCUACUGACGCUGAGGUGCGAGAGCGUGGGGAGCGAAUGGG
rnacentral:rRNA from 1 species